rnacentral:rRNA from 1 species
UACGUAGGGCGCGAGCGUUGUCCGGAAUUAUUCGGCGUAAAGAGCUCGUAGGCGGCUUGUUGCGUCUGCUGUGAAAUCCCGGGGCUUAACCCCGGGCGUGCAGUGGAUACGGGCAGGCUGGAGGCAGGCAGGGGAGAAUGGAAUUCCCGGUGUAGCGGUGAAAUGCGCAGAUAUCGGGAGGAACACCGGUGGCGAAGGCGGUUCUCUGGGCCUGUUCUGACGCUGAGGAGCGAAAGCGUGGGGAGCAAACAGG